UGCUGAAUGCCGUCGCAAGAGUGG
rnacentral:piRNA from 1 species